rnacentral:siRNA from 1 species
CUCGGACAUUGGUGGUUGUCUGUC